GACGAACGCUGGCGGCGUGCCUAAUACAUGCAAGUAGAACGCUGAAGGAGGAGCUUGCUUCUCUGGAUGAGUUGCGAACGGGUGAGUAACGCGUAGGUAACCUGCCUGGUAGCGGGGGAUAACUAUUGGAAACGAUAGCUAAUACCGCAUAAUAGUAGAUGUUGCAUGACAUUUGCUUAAAAGGUGCAAUUGCAUCACUACCAGAUGGACCUGCGUUGUAUUAGCUAGUUGGUGGGGUAACGGCUCACCAAGGCGACGAUACAUAGCCGACCUGAGAGGGUGAUCGGCCACACUGGGACUGAGACACGGCCCAGACUCCUACGGGAGGCAGCAGUAGGGAAUCUUCGGCAAUGGACGGAAGUCUGACCGAGCAACGCCGCGGGAGUGAAGAAGGUUGUCGGAUCGUAAAGCUCUGUUGUAAGAGAAGAACGAGUGUGAGAGUGGAAAGUUCACACUGUGACGGUAUCUUACCAGAAAGGGACGGCUAACUACGUG
rnacentral:rRNA from 1 species